UGAAGAUAGCAGAAGGAAGAAGAGCUUUUGAGAUGCCAUGACAAACUGCUUUGAUAUCUGUAGAAGAUAAUGAGAUUAGUUAUUUGCUAAGGAGAUGAUGAAUUUGGAUUGGAAGGUGGGUAGUAUUUAUAGAGUAUGAGAUGUGACGGAAUUGUUUGUAAAUUGUAAUCCUGCAGGCCUAUUGACAGAUGGGAUAUUUACAAAGUCAUUCUUGUUUUGGUCGAAGGGUUUUGGUGUCAUUUACCCGGCAAGGAGGUAAGGGAGUGAUAGUAAUAUUAUUUUUUCCCUAUGUAUAAUUUUUUUUUUCCUUUGCUACAUGCAUGUAUGUGAAUCAUAUGAUAAUAUGCUCAUUGGCAUUGUGAAAAUCAAAUAAUAAUUGACAAAAGUGCAGCUG
rnacentral:lncRNA from 1 species